CCUACGGGUGGCUGCAGUGGGGAAUAUUGGACAAUGGGGGGAACCCUGAUCCAGCCAUGCCGCGUGUGUGAAGAAGGCCCUCGGGUUGUAAAGCACUUUCAGUGAGGAAGAACGCCUGGUGGUUAAUACCCAUCAGGAAAGACAUCACUCACAGAAGAAGCACCGGCUAACUCCGUGCCAGCAGCCGCGGUAAUACGGAGGGUGCGAGCGUUAAUCGGAAUUACUGGGCGUAAAGCGCGCGUAGGUGGCUUGAUAAGCCGGUUGUGAAAGCCCCGGGCUCAACCUGGGAACGGCAUCCGGAACUGUCAAGCUAGAGCGCAGGAGAGGAAGGUAGAAUUCCCGGUGUAGCGGUGAAAUGCGUAGAGAUCGGGAGGAAUACCAGUGGCGAAGGCGGCCUUCUGGACUGACACUGACACUGAGGUGCGAAAGCGUGGGUAGCAAACAGGAUUAGAUACCCCAGUAGUC
rnacentral:rRNA from 1 species